rnacentral:rRNA from 1 species
UACGUAGGGGGCAAGCGUUGUCCGGAAUCAUUGGGCGUAAAGCGCGUGUAGGCGGCUUGGUAAGUCAGGUGUGAAAGCCCCGGGCUCAACCUGGGAAUGCCAUUUGAGACUGCAUAGCUAGGGUACGGAAGAGGGAAGCGGAAUUUCAGGUGUAGCGGUGAAAUGCGUAGAUAUCUGAAGGAACACCAGUGGCGAAAGCGGCUUCCUGGUCCAGUACCGACGUUCAGGCACGAAAGCGUGGGGAGCAAACAGG